UGUUUGGCAAUGGUAGAACUCACACUGGUGAGGUAGAUGGAUCCGGUGGUUCUAGACUUGCCAACUA
ensembl:miRNA